rnacentral:rRNA from 1 species
UGCCAGCCGCCGCGGUAAUACGGAGGGUGCAAACGUUGCUCGGAAUUAUUGGGCGUAAAGCGCGCGUAGGCGGCUUUAUAAGUCAGAUGUGAAAGUCCAUGGCUCAACCAUGGAAGUGCAUUUGAAACUGUAAGGCUUGAGUAUUGGAGGGGGUAGUGGAAUUCCCGGUGUAGAGGUGAAAUUCGUAGAUAUCGGGAGGAAUACCAGUGGCGAAGGCGGCUCACUGGCUCGAUACUGACGCUGAGGUGCGAAAGUGUGGGGAGCAAACAGGAUUAGAUA